rnacentral:rRNA from 1 species
GGAUCAUUAAAGAGUUUAAUAAAACUCCUAAACCCCUGUGAACUUACUGGUGUUUGGCUCGCCAGAUAUAGUCUGGUCCGUAAGCAAAUCGACUGCCUGCCUGUGUAACAGGCAGGUAAGCUUUUGUCGCGGGGUCCCGGAUCAACCCGGGCUAGAUAGCCACUUAACUAUAUACUUUUUAUAAAAUCUGUGAACUUACUAUGUUGGAUUCUCGCCAGAGAUAGUCUGGUUUCUGCCACGCAGAUCGACUGCCUGCCUGUGACACCUGUCACAGGUAGGUAAGCUUUUGCCGCGGGUCCGCAUGUAAAUCGUCUGUUUCACAAGGGACGGCGAUUUACCUGUGGAAGAGGUCCGCUAACUAUAUUCUUAGUAUAGUUUGUUCACUAGAUCAAACAUUCUGAAUAAAAACUUAAACUAGUUAAAACUUUCAACAACGGAUCUCUUGGUUCUGGCAUCGAUGAAGAACGCAGCGAAAUGCGAUAAGUAAUGUGAAUUGCAGAAUUCAGUGAAUCAUCGAAUCUUUGAACGCACAUUGCGCCCAUUAGUAUUCUAGUGGGCAUGCCUGUUCGAGCGUCAUUUCAACCCUUAAGCCCCUGUUGCUUAGCGUUGGGAGCCUACAGCCUGCUGUAGCUCCUUAAAGGUAGUGGCGGAGUCGGUUCACACUCUAGACGUAGUAAAAUCUUUAUCUCGCCUAUGGAUGAGCCGGCGCCUUGCCGUAAAACCCCUAAUCUUUCACAAGGUUGACCUCGGAUCAGGUAGGAAUACCCGCUGAACUUAAGCAUAUCAAUAAGCGGAGGAAAAGAAACCAACAGGGAUUGCCCUAGUAACGGCGAGUGAAGCGGCAACAGCUCAAAUUUGAAAUCUGGCCUUCGGGUCCGAGUUGUAAUUUGCAGAGGAUGCUUUGGGCGCGGUGCCUUCCGAGUUCCCUGGAACGGGACGCCUUAGAGGGUGAGAGCCCCGUACGGUUGGACACCAAGCCUCUGUAAAGCUCCUUCGACGAGUCGAGUAGUUUGGGAAUGCUGCUCUAAAUGGGAGGUAAAUUUCUUCUAAAGCUAAAUAUUGGCCAGAGACCGAUAGCGCACAAGUAGAGUGAUCGAAAGAUGAAAAGCACUUUGAAAAGAGGGUUAAAUAGCACGUGAAAUUGUUGAAAGGGAAGCGUUUGCGACCAGACCUUUUCCCAGCGGAUCAUCCGGUGUUCUCACCGGUGCACUUCGCUGGGUUGAGGCCAGCAUCGGUUUCCGCAGGGGGAUAAAAGCCUGGGGAACGUAGCUCCCUCGGGAGUGUUAUAGCCCCUCGCAUAAUACCCUUGCGGGGACCGAGGACCGCGCU